AAUCGGUAGACGCUACGGACUUAAAAUCCGUCGACUUUAGAAAUCGUGA
rnacentral:tRNA from 1 species